rnacentral:rRNA from 1 species
GAUGAACGCUAGCUACAGGCUUAACACAUGCAAGUCGAGGGGCAGCAUGAACAUAGCUUGCUAUGUUUGAUGGCGACCGGCGCACGGGUGCGUAACACGUAUCCAAUCUGCCCGUUACUCGGGGAUAGCCUUCUGAAAGGAAGAUUAAUACCCGAUGGCAUGUAUUUCCGGCAUCGGAGAUACAUUAAAGAUUUAUCGGUAACGGAUGAGGAUGCGUACGAUUAGCUGGUUGGCGGGGUAACGGCCCACCAAGGCGACGAUCGUUAGGGGUUCUGAGAGGAAGGUCCCCCACACUGGAACUGAGACACGGUCCAGACUCCUACGGGAGGCAGCAGUGAGGAAUAUUGGUCAAUGGUCGAGAGACUGAACCAGCCAAGUAGCGUGAAGGAUGACUGCCCUACGGGUUGUAAACUUCUUUUGUUCGGGAAUAAAGUUCAGUAUGUAUACUGUUUUGUAUGUACCGUUCGAAUAAGCAUCGGCUAAUUCCGUGCCAGCAGCCG